CGCUUCUCAAUGCAGGACGUGGGAGGGACGCAAACUUUGUAAACAGGAAUAGGUGCAUCACUGGUCACUGAGCUGGCAAGCUAAAGUUAGCUAGUUAGUCACAGUUAGUACCUUCAACCUGUUAAUUAUUUAUCUCACGAAGUCAGCAUCGCUUAACAUAGUUUAUUUUGUUUUUGACCUCGCGAUUGUUGCUGGAUAGGUACUUUCAUCUCUAACAUGCUGGCGAUGCUAGCUAACCUCGUAUCAGGAUGCCUCGAUCUAGUCCGAUUUGAUUUAUCUUACGAAGUAAGCAUGGCUUAACAUGUUUUCUUUCGUUUUUGACCUCGACAUUGUUGUUGGAUAGAUACUUUCAUAUCUAACAUGCUAGCUAAUCUCAUAUCUGGAUGCCUCACUCUAGUUCCCGAGAGAGCAGCAUACUGGCGCCCCGUUCCCAAACCUGAAGCCCCCUGUUUCCGAGCAGGAAAGACCAGGAACAAAGUGUUGGCUUAAGAUCUGCCAACCUGCUUGGUGGGUGACAGGUAACCAUCUUUCCACCAAGCUAUUCCAGGCCUGGAGUGGCACGCUGGACCUUCCAGAGGCUUGUAGACCGUAAGCGGUGUGAUGUGGUCCAGAUCUGCCAUGCACUCCACCACUGCCUGACAGCCUCACCCAGAAGUGCAUACACUGGGCCUAUCAAGACUGACAAAGCAGAGAUGGGUGGCUGACAAGAAAAAAUAAAACAUAUAUACACACCACUCAUUAUCCACAAUGUAAAUAAGUUGUAAUUACUUGUUUAUUUUAUGUAUGCUCCAUUUUAUUUGAGGAUUGAAGAUAUUGAUAAUGUCUAGAUAUCUGCAUAAUUACUCUAAAUAUCUAUCAAAUCAAAGUGUGAUUAAGCAAAAGUCUUUUACAAUAUUAUUAAUCGCACUUUGAUUUGAUAGAUAUUUAGAGUAAUUAUGCAGAUAUUGAUAAUGGAUAGAUAUCUUCAAACCUCAUAAAAUGGAGCAUAGACAAAAUAAACAAGUUAUUACAAUUUGUUUACAUUGGGUCUAAUGUGUGUGUGAGAGAGCGAGGCACGUUUUUCAACUCAGGAAAAAAAGCACACAGAAUUUCCUAAAACUGUAC